rnacentral:rRNA from 1 species
CAAAGGUAGCGUAAUCACUUGUCUAUUAAUUGUAGACCCGUAUGAAAGGCAUAAUGAGGGUUUAACUGUCUCUUUUAGUAAAUCAAUUAAACUGAUCUUCUAGUUAAAAAGCUAGAAUAGUAACACAAGACCAGAAGACCCUGUGAAGCUUUAACUAAACUAUUAAACUAUAUAAUAACUACUUUCGGUUGGGGCGACCUUGGAAAAAAAAAGAACUUCCAAAUAACUAUUACAUAAAAAUAUUCAACGGCUAACAAGCCCAUAUAAAGACCCAGCAAAGCUGAUAAUUGAACCAAGUUACUCCAGGGAUAACAGCGCUAUCUUCUUCAAGAGCCCAUAUCAAAAAGAAGGUUUACGACCUCGAUGUUGGAUCAGGACAUCCCAAUGGUGCAGCCGCUAUUAACGGU